GAUGAACGCUGGCGGCGCGCCUAAUACAUGCAAGUCGAGCGAACGGACGAGAAGCUUGCUUCUCUGAUGUUAGCGGCGGACGGGUGAGUAACACGUGGAUACCCUACCUAUAAGACUGGGAUAACUUCGGGAAACCGUAGCUAAUACCGGAUAAUAUUUUGAACCGCAUGGUUCAAAAGUGAAAGACGGUCUUGCUGUCACUUAUAGAUGGAUCCGCGCUGCAUUAGCUAGUUGGUAAGGUAACGGCUUACCAAGGCAACGAUGCAUAGCCGACCUGAGAGGGGGAACGGCCACACUGGGACUGAGACACGACCCAGACUCCUAGGGAAGGCAGCGGAAGGUAAUCUUCCGAAAAGGGCGAAAGCCUGACGGAGCAACGCCGCGGGGGUGAUGAAGGUCUUCGGAUCGUAAAACUCUGUUAUUAGGGAAGAACAUAUGUGUAAGUAACGGUGCGCAUCUUGACGGUACCUGAACAGAAAGCCACGGCUAACUACGU
rnacentral:rRNA from 1 species